AUUGAGCGCUGGCGGCAGGCCUAACACAUGCAAGUCGAGCGGAUGAAGGGAACUUGCUCCUGGAUUCAGCGGCGGACGGGUGAGUAAUUCCUAGGAAUCUGCCUGGUAGUGGGGAUAACGUCCGGAAACGGGCGCUAAUACCGCAUACGUCCUGAGGGAGAAAGCGGGGGAUCUUCGGACCUCACGCUAUCAGAUGAUCCUAGGUCGGAUUAGCUAGUUGGUGGGGUAAAGGCCUACCAAGGCGACGAUCCGUAACUGGUCUGAGAGGAUGAUCAGUCACACUGGAACUGAGACACGGUCCAGACUCCUACGGGAGGCAGCAGUGGGGAAUAUUGGACAAUGGGCGAAAGCCUGAUCCAGCCAUGCCGCGUGUGUGAAGAAGGUCUUCGGAUUGUAAAGCUCUUUAAGUUGGGAGGAAGGGCAGUAAGUUAAUACCUUGCUGUUUUGACGUUACCAGCAGAAUAAGCACCGGCUAACUUCGUG
rnacentral:rRNA from 1 species